UUUUACACGCCAGUUUACACAGAGGAAUUUAAGGUCUUUGCACUUUGCAUGCUCCUUGGACAAUACAUGCUUGCAUUUUUCUGUUUUUAGCAAGUUUGGGCGCUUUUAAAGGACAUUUGCCUGUCGUAAAGAGAAUACCAUUUCUGCCUGAAUGAGCAGAUGGACACUGAUGUGAGAAAGAUGUUCGAGCCGUUCGGCAGCAUAGAGGAGUGCACGGUGCUCCGCGGGCCCAACAGUACCAGCAAAGUCUCUUUAAUGAGGGAGACUCUGUCGACAUUCCCGUAGGAAUCCUCUCCUAUGAGGACAUGAGGACACCAGCCCAGCAGGCCCAGCAGGCCCAGCAUCGCCACAACUUAACCCCUCAUGGGGAUCAUCCAGGGCAGCCUUGUAAUGGAAGCACUCACCAACCUACCUCAGCCGAUGUGCCUCUUGUUUGGCUUUACCUACGCACUCCACCUGCAGUACCUGAAGUGCUUAAAAAACACAUUUGCCUUCAUUCAGGUGAAGCUACAUUUGGGUCGAAGUGAGCUACCUCCCAAGGUUCAAAAGCUGAAGAAUGAUCUUGCAAUGUAAGACACAUUUAUGCUCAUGACACAAUUCUUAAUGUCCGUGUCUGGAUUGUUGCACAAAUACAUUGCACUGACUGGAGCAAAUAUUCUCGCAGUUGCUCAUUUUGAAUGUGAUUCUUCUUGUACUAGAUGUGUCUAGUGUUGCUUGUUUUACUGAAAUUAUUCUACAGAGCACACAUUUUGGAAAGUUGCAGGUUUUUUUUUUUUUUUUACCAACUCUGGUCCUCACUGCAUAGUUGUUCCUAAUGUUACUGUUCUUAAUACCUGCUUUGUUGUGUGGCAAACAAAGCAUACAGUUUUUCCUACAUGGUCAGUGUUGGUUUUUUUUUCAUACUUGAAAAUUGUUCACAAAGCAAAAUAUUUAAAAACUAAGCCGUGAUUGUAUUUGGAAGGAAAUCGUUUCCUAAUUCAAUACACAUGUUCUUUUUGCUGCAUCAUAGCAAGGUACUGUAAGGUAAUAGCUGCUGCAAAAAGUAAGAAUAUACUGUUGUAAUUGUUGGCAAAGACCCAUUUUGAUAAUUUUAUGAAAACAAGGUCUUACUGUUAUUUUGGAUUUGCAUCUGGUAUUUCACACAGCAUCACUGUUAAUACAUAUUUGUUGCUCUCUAAAUAAAAUAAAUAAAAUGUA